AUUACCUCUUUGUGCUCCUUCUUGCGCCCCCUUGUGAACCAAGAGAUGGUUGGGUCAUGCCCCCAAACACUUAUUUCUUCGUAUGUUUGGCAUUACCCUAUAACGACAACCAUGCUAGCCCACGUACUGGUAAGAGCCACCUUACUCUUGGGUUCAUGUUUUCACCAUUGUUGGAGUUCAAAACACAUAAUUCUUUGGUUUAGACUGUAACACCCUUCUAAAAUACCCCGAGUAUAUAAUUAAAAUAACACAUAUCAAUCAGAGUAAAUAUGCAAUCAAGGGUGUCACACAAUAUUUCACACCAUAAUAACUGUCAUGCUCUUUAUUUAAUCAAAAUAAACAUUUUCUUGCAUAAUUCGCAGCGGAUAGAAAUCAACUAACCAUUCAAAACAUAUAACAUAUUACAGGUAAAA
rnacentral:lncRNA from 1 species